GGAGAGAUGGCCGAGUGGUCGAAGGCGUUCCCCUGCUAAGGGAAUAUGCGGUAAAACUGCAUCGAGGGUUCAAAUCCCUCUCUCUCUGCCA
rnacentral:tRNA from 1 species